AAAACAUUUGUUGAGACUGCUUUCUAAAGGGCUCCACCUCCACCACCUGUCACUGUACUGGGGGCUGCAACGUGGACAGCACCCCUCACUUCUAAGUUCAACUGCAGACUGGAUGGUGAAAGGCUGAAGCCGAGGAGGUGGAAGUGCAGAUUUGGAGCCUCUGGACCCGACAGGACCCUAUAACUCUUAUUAACUGAAUUGGAUGGAGCUAAAAUAAAGACAUAAACAUCCUAAAUCAUCCACUGAAAUCUUCUUAAAAGGGUAAGUUUCAUUUAUUUUCCAAUUUUAAAAAAAUUAUAUACUUACUUAGCAAAGU
rnacentral:lncRNA from 1 species